GCCAGGUGUGGUGGGGUGCACCUGUAGUCCCAGCUACUAGGGAGGCUGAGGCAGGAGGAUCACUUGAGCCCGGGAGGUUGAGGCUGCAGUAGGUCAUAAUCAUGCCACUGUACUCCAGCCUGGGCGACAGAGUGAGACCCUGUCUCAA
ensembl:misc_RNA Metazoa_SRP Metazoan signal recognition particle RNA